CUGAAAUCGAUCUAGAGCCUCUUUUUACCUCCAACAUCUGUAUUACCUGUGGAAAGUUAACUUGCUGUAGCAAAACCCCCAUUAUCUUAUUGUAGAAUGAGGAAGUGCUAUCCCUCCAUCUCACAGACUUCUGUUUUGGUUGUGAUGAUAAAACCAUAUGCAUUAAUUGGGGACCUAUACUUUUAAUGAAUCAUUAAUGAAAAUAACAGCUUCCAUUCUAUUUAUCUACCAAAAUUUUAUUAGCUAUCUGUUUAAUGACAACCAGAAAAGUAGCAUUAUUCUUUUCCCAGAGAAUCUCCACAACAAAUGAAGAGGAAGUAUUGGAAGAGCUUGCUCUCCAAGGUAGAGCCAGGGAGAAGACACCAGCUAGAGAAGACUACCGGUCCCAAAAUCAGGGAGGAUGGCCAUGGAACAGUGAGAAUGAUGGGAAACUACCACACCCACAGCCACAUCAGGAAAACCCACCUGCAGAACCAGAAGAGCCACAGGUCACAUCCAAGUUGGCUGUGCCUCCAACUGUCUGUAUCAGAUGGAUAAUGGGGAUGACUCCUCCCUGUGCCUGGAUCAUAGAGGCUGGCACAGGCCAUGGGGAAGCUGCUGUAAGUCCAUCCAUCUCCCAAAGUCUCAGUGCCCUUUAAUAGUAUCAUGAGGUGUUUUUGCUCUUUGAAGUUCUAACCCUACUGCCGAAGGAAUGAUCCCAGCCCCUUUGAGCCUGUUAUUACUUUUAUUUUUUUAAGUUUUCUUUUCUCUUUCUCUCGUUCAUAACCAGCUUGCUUUGACGAAGACAAUUUACUUUAUAAAUACAGUCCCAAAACUUGUGUAGUAUUGUUGAAAUUAUGGUAGUAAUCUUUGUUCAUUAUUCACCUUUGUAAAAUUUGCUGCCGUAAUGAAAGAUAAAUUUUCAUGACAGGUUUUGGGAAAAUAUUUUUGAACAUACAAGUAAGUUGUUACUUUACGC
rnacentral:lncRNA from 1 species